rnacentral:misc_RNA from 1 species
CAUGCAAGCGCGCGUAUCCACCCACCUAGAGACACACACACACACACAGAAGCCUAUAAAAGCGCAGAGGCCCACAACGCCUAUCUUUGCAUAGAGACGUUCCACCGUGAGCGUUUCUUCACCUUGGCUAUCCCUCCCCUCUCUACGCAUCUCUGCGUGAGCGUGUGCCGGCUAGAGCUGCCGCUGUACUUGGGCUGUUGCUCUUGUCCUUGCUGACGCACUCGCGUGCGCGUGGUGUCGUCUUUCUCCCAGGACUCCCCCUUUUUGUUUUCCUGUUUAUCUUUUUCCACUGCCGUCUCUCUGCUUCUCGGACGAUUUCAGCUCUUUGGCAUCGUUUGCUCAGCAGCAACGCGUCUACUCAUUCCUUGUUGUAGCACUUGCCUCUCUGUCUGACUGUUGUUCGCGACGCAUCUUAUCCUCUCCUCCCCUCUCCUCGUCUCUCGUGGCCUCCCUUAUCCUCAUCCCUCGUGCGCUUGUUUCGGGUAUCUUGGUUGUGUCUGCGUGCACUUUUCUUAG